GGCAGGCGGUCCUCCAGGUACACGAGGGAACAUCUUUCCCGCGCGGUUUCCCAAAUGUCUGAUUAUUGAAGAUGUUCCUUUUUUCAACGUUGCAGAGAAUUAAGGAAUUAGAAGAAAGAAUAGAAGGUCAGAAGAGACAAAUAAAGGAGCUGGAGGAAAAGUUUCUAUUUUUGUUCUUAUUUUUCUCCUUAGCUUUCAUUCUGUGGUCCUAGCUCGCCUGGGCACCCCGACGUGACGGCAGUGGAGCAGGCUGUGACCUCGUCCUUCCUCUCGUCCACGUCCCCUGGCCCUCGAGCCCUCCCCUUGGAGGCAGGACCAGGCUUUCCCCUCGGCCUCGUCCCUCCAGCCCAGGAGCCCCCUGACCUGCCUCCUGCGUCCCUUCUCUUCCAGCUCCCAGAGGAGCCAGAGCCCUUUCCUCCAGCUGGACCGGGGAGCAGUGGGCGCCCGGGCGGCCGCAUGAGAUGCUGCAUCUCAUCCUCGAAGCCCCGAGAGGACCUGGCCUCUGCGGACCCCCUCCCACCCAGGAGCAGGGAGAAAGGGGGUCUUUGAGCACCUCUGACGGGGGCUGUCCACUUCAAUGAGCUGGAGUUAGGACUCGCUCUCUGACCGGGGCUCCCUGAAGAGGCCUGGACUUGGCCGCAGGCCCUGGGCACCCUCCUGGGACACAGCCCCCCGCCCCAGACCCCUGCCAGGCAGCGAGAGAGCCGCUUCUGUGCUGGAGCCCCGCACCCCUGCCUCCUUCGUUCCUUUAACAACCGAAACGUGUCUCAAAGGAAGCUUCUCAGAAACACCUUGGGCGCCUGCAAAGUGACAACGAAGCUGCCACCACGGGGAAACUGGGGUGGCUCCCGGGGCCAAGGACGGAUUCCCCGGGAGCCCCGGAGGCCUUCGCUCGCGGGUCCCGAGCGCCUGCUUGGCUGCCACGUCCUGCCGUCCUUCCUUGUUUGUGCUGCUGCGUCCCUCCUGGGAACAGAGCCCCAACUGCCACGGUGCCACCAGCCUCCCGCCCUGAGCCGCCGGAGGAGCAGGUGGGACCCACCAAAGGGAGGCCUACAGAGCAUGGAGGUGGGACGAGAGGGACAAGCAGACUGGCAAAGGACCUGACUUCGUCAGAGACGCGGGGCCCUCGGGCUGCCGGUGAGCCCAGCGUGGCCGAAGCUGCCCGGUCCAGAGCCCUGGCCUCCGCACUCAAGGGGCAGCGCCCGGCCGGGGUGACAGUGCACCGCGGUUCCGCAGGUGUGAGAAGGGGCCCGGCGCCCAGGUGGCCAGCAGAGGAGAAGCGGCGCCGCUGGAGCCGGCAUGGAGCGUGAUGUCCGGUCCCGCGGAGCGCUGGGUCCACAGCCCAGGAGAGCCUUCCGGCUUGGACACUCCCUGCCUCUCGGGUUGGAGGAGGUUCUUCUGCUGGCCUUGCACCCUUGGGGAUCUGAGGUUGCCCCCUCCGUGCUGAAUUUGCAAGGGAUGCUCGAGUCUGUGUGUGUCCACGCGUGAGUCUGUGUGCGUGUGUGCACACGCGUGUGCUCAAUCAGAAGAUGACACCCAGGAUUUAGCUCUUUCGAGGCACUUAGAAGUUGGCCCGCUGGGUAAUGAGAUGUGCAGCCACUUGGGGACAUGACAAACCUUGUAGGAAAGGAAGGUAAAUGGCUUUGCCCGGCGGCUGAGGGACGUCCGCCUGCGGUGUCUGGCAGUGUUAGGCUCGUGCUGUAUUUGUGUCGGGAGGAAGGUUCGACUCCCGUGCAGAUGACGGCGGCGGCCGGGCCAGGCUUGAUUCCCGAGGAUGGUCAGGAGGAAGCUUAUAGGAUGGGACAGAUCCGCUUUGUCGCGGGUGCAGGUUUUCCGCUGGGCAGCCGGCCGUUCAUCAGCUCUCACCCAAGAAGGACGUCCUUUCUGUUGUCAUUAAAGCCACAGUUACUAAUUCACUUGGACAAGAUAGGGGGCCGGUUCGCCGCUCGUCCAGCUGAGUCCGAUGUCAGGGUUUGUAUCUCGAGUGCGAAAUCCUGUUUAGUCCUCCCUGCACACCUUCAUCUUGUUCUAAUGACUGCAUUCUCUUGGCACAUUUGUUAUACUCAGAACCAAAUGGCAAACGGAGGUCUUGCGUUACUAAAAGCCGCCAAGGAGCUAAACUCCUAGAUGGAAGCCUGGUGGACCGUAUGAGGCAGGCGUCCAGAAAAUACUCCUUCGCUCCGGCACGCCCUGCGGGCCUGCCUGGUCCCUGCGUGCUGCCUCGCAUCAGCAGCUAUGCGGUUGGCCGUUUCAGAUAAAAAAAAAAAAA
rnacentral:lncRNA from 1 species